rnacentral:sRNA from 1 species
AUGUGUCUUAUCCUUAUUUCUAACUUAGAGCUGCUGUUCCUCUCUCUCUAGAAUCUUCAAAACCAUUAUUUCUAACACCAGAGCCAUCAUCUAACUCGAGUCCAAUCUUCUUUCUCUGUUCAUUGCUCUGAAGGCAAAAAUGGAGAUCUACCCCCAAACUUCCGAUCAUGAUGUCGACCCACUCAGAGGAGCUGCAGAAUGCCGACCCAACAUAGCAAAGAACGUUAAAUGUCUGGAGCCUAUCUGAUGUGGAAAAGAAAGGUAUAGGUAUGUAUCCCUUCAACUCUUAUUUGUGUGUCGUAGGAAUAUGAUUUUCGUCUGCUCAUAAUUGUCCUCUGUGCUUUUUGCGUGUCUUCGUUGAUGUAUGUUGAGCAAAAAUAUAUGCAUAUGGAUGGCCUUGAUGACUGUGUGGUAAAAAUCCCUAUCAGGUGUUAUUCUCCUAUGAGUGUGUGCGAGUGAUGAUACAUAGUAGAGCUUUGUGGCCAUUUUAAAGGAGUCCGGGCAGGAUGCAAAUGGUAAAAUGAAACAGAAAACCCUAAAUGUCGUUAUCUGUGCUCCAUAUUUGAAUUGGUUGAUUCAUUUUCAAGCAACCACUGCUUUGUGUGGCCUCCACUUUUGUGAUGCCUUAUGUGGCAAGCAAUUUUAUCUCGGGCAAUUGGCUAAAAUGAUGAGAAAAUAAUUUUCGAUUGUCAAACUAAUCAACGCUCGUAUAUACUAUC